UCACUGUUCCUUAGGAUUGACUUUGGGCUUUUCCUGUGCCCAACUUAGGUGGAGGGCGAAGAAGGCCUCCUUCCGGGGGUGCUCGAGCCAUUAGUGAGAUACCACUCUAGAAAAGCUAAAAUUCUAACAUUGUGUAAGGACCUAUAGGUGAAUGGAUAGUUUUAUGUGGAUAGUUUCUAUGGGGUUUAUGCCUCCCAAAAGCUAACAGAGGUGUGUAAAGGUUUCUUCGGGCUAGACGAAGAUUGACCCUCGAGUGCAAGGGCAGAAGGGAGCUUGACUACAAGAACCACCCGUCGAGCGGGGACUAACAAUGCCAAGUGGAAGGGUGGUCGCUCAAUAUAUUAA
rfam:Lupinus angustifolius cultivar Tanjil contig_4247, whole genome shotgun sequence.